GGGGGGGACUGUUUCUCUAUUGUGUCCUGAGCGGAUUCUCCCUCGGCUCCCCUCCCGGUCUGGUUGCAAUGAGGGGCUUCGGAAUGGACGCGCGUGGGGUGGAACGAAGGGAGAGCGAUUUUUUCACUAAAACCAUGGGAGAAGUUGGGAUUUUCUUUGGUUCGACCCCAAUAGGCAUUCACUGCUGUUUAUCAGACCUUCACGCUGGGCAGGUGUAGCCAUCACAGAACAAGCACACAGUGUGGCAGCACAUGGGAGCACUCUGGAGCAGAAUAAAUCUUCGCGGUUUAAAAUCGAAGUGCUGAAAGAGUACAUGCUGGGUCUGCUCCCCUGACCGUGUCACCUUAGCAAACUUCUCCUCGUGAGCUGUUUAAACCUUCGAGCUUGCUUGUAUUUGCUAUGGGAAUGAAUAGGAUUGCAGGAGCUUUAGCACGCAGCAGAGACUCGUGGGCUAGCAGCUUUUGAGGUUAUACCCAUGAGUGCUCGAGCAGAGCUGGUGCAGCUAAUUCCUCUGUCUGCAGAGGGUGAAGCGAAGGCAGAGGGAGGCUGAGUGUUCAGUGCUGAUGGUCACAGAGGGAGCCAGAGACACGGCCAAGGCUGAAUCCGAAGGCUCUCAAUGUGCAGUCAGAGAACAAACAGUAUUUCCUCUUAAUUCGCCGUUUUCCCUCAUGAAAAGAAUCACGUCUCAUGGCUUUCUCUCCCCAUUGUUCCGAUGACUCACAUAAGCCACGGGCAUGAUACAGGCAAUGAAGCUUUGCAUUAAUCUACUGUCCAGAUUGAUAACUCUAAGGAGCAUCUCAUAAUGACCAAAAUGUGAUUAAUCAUGAUACACGUGUGAUACCCAUGCUCAUUAUUACUGGCCUCCAGAACAGUGCUGCUGAUUCCUGCCAAUAUGCUCAGUUUCGUAUCUGGAAGAGACAAUACUGUAAUUACUGCCAAAGUAUGCAGGAAAAUUAAGCAGCAGCUCGGUCUGCGUUCUGCAUCGGGCUAGCAGAAAGGACUAUAGAAAAGCAUGGGAAUCAACAGCCACAAGGAAUAACAAAUAUUUUCUGUGUGUACUUCAUUUUAAAUAGAUGUUGUCUGACGCAGCCAUUUAGUUUGAACUGUUGCCUUGCAGAAUUCUUUCUGGAAGAGGAAAGUGUAGGGCAUGGUGGACACAGCAACUGGAGGAAAAAAAGAAAGGAGCUGAUGAAGCGUAUUUGGAAAAGGAUCUGUCCCUCUAUGAUGUCAACACAUUUUUCUGCAGAGCUCUUUGUAUGAUGUUGCCUACCUGUAAGACAAAUUGUCUUUGUCUCGCCGUUAGAGUUCUUGUGCACCUGCGUCGAUAACUUCAUGUAGAAUACACCAAGAGAUAGCUUUUAUAUCAUGGCAUGGGGACCCACGUGCCAGUGGUCCACACAGUAGGGUGUAUAUGUUGAAAUUGACAGAUAUGGCCAUUUCCUCCCUAGGAGUGACUAAUGCCAGAGGGCAACGGUAGUUCAUUAUGCCAUGCACUGUGUCAGGGAGGUGCCCCAAGCUUAUGGUGGCCAGAAUCCCUACGAGUGAAGAACUUUUUGGUGAAUCUCCUGCUUUGUGAAGAUUGUCUUCUCAGCUGACGGACGGAAACAUCCUGACUCAGGGAAACACAAUAAUGAGGGAUUUGUGUUUCCCCUUCGUUUGCCUUUUGCAGUGCCCAGGGGUUGGAUGUGCAGGAGCAAGUCCUUGGCCCUUCUACAUGAUGUAAAUCUACCAUAUUCUCUGUUUGUUGAAAGCAACCAGGAAGGUAUUCAGGGCCCAAGAUUCCAGUUUAGGAAGUUGUAGCAAUGAUGGGCAUCUUCCCUACUCAUUGUUUGAAAGAUUGUGAUAACAGCAACAGAAAUAAUGGCAGUCAAUGAGAAAUGAAGUUCUUAGUUCUUCUGUGCAUCAGAAUACACUGCAAGCUGAUAAGCUGUGUAUGGAAAGCAUCACAGUAGUCUGUGUAGCAAAGUACAGCCAGGGAGUACACGUGCAGUGUGCUGAGGCAUUUUUAAGCAAUAUUUAAGAGGAAAAGAGGUAACCCCUAAUCUGCUUAUCCAGUGGUGCGUGGGUAAGCGUGCUGACGCUGAGGAUGUCCCUGGAGCUAUGGCAGUAAGAAGGGAAAGCAGGGAACCUCAUUCCAGGUUAUGAAAGAACAUAAUAUGCAGGAGUGUUUUAUGUAAGUCUACGAGGGGGGAAAAUGGAUGAAAAUAGGGGAAUGGAGUUGUAGUGACUGUUACACCUGCAGAAGAAGUUGACUUUAGAGGUGGUCAUAAUGUGAAUUUCCUGUGUGUGCUGUGUUUGUAAUGUGUGAAAACAAAUUUAACUCAUCAGGUGGGAAAGUUCUUACAGAACUGAUGUCUGUGGACAGAAAGGAGUUUGUAACACAGUUAAGAUGCUGCAUGUACAGAACAAAAUUUCCCUGGACUUCACUGGGCUUUGGAUCAGACCUUCCUUCUGAAUUAAAAGAGUAUCACAUAAAUACAGUAUUCGUUUUGCAGAUAUUCUGCUUCAAACAGAGUAACUGAGUUCAGCCACUCUGCUUUUAUUAUUAUGACAAAUAUCUCCACAUUAGCAUAAGGGAAAACAAGGGGUGAAAUGCCAGGCGUGCUCCCACGCAUCUGAACCAACAGAAUUGCUCUCUGCAUUUUGCAGACCUUCUGCAUGAAUCAUUAUGCCCAUUCUGUGUAAUAAAUAAUAAUAAUAAUAAUUUGUGAUGUAAAAAGUGCUCUCAAGAGAACUUUGUUUUAUUUAGCAUUUAAUAAAUGUAUUCAGCAAGGACUGCCUUGCCUAUACACGUAUAUGCUAUAUCCGUAUUUGUGUGCCUCGUGCAGCAAAGCUGCUACCUGCUAAACACAGAUCUAUACUUCGGCCACGUGAGAAUGCCCCACUCAUCAGCUCCACUUGUUGCACCUCUCCUGGGAUGGCCAAAUCUCUCACAAAUGUGCAGUUUUAUGAGCAUCCCUCGGCACGACAGGCGUCACACAGCACUGCAAAUUCAUGAACGAAACGAACUCACUCCAUCCUCUCUCUGGAUCUGCAUGGAGCCUCUCACAAUGGGGCUGUGAUUUAUUUGGGGCCUCUGGGUAUGACUGCCAUACAAGUAGUAACUAAUGACAACAGACCAC
ensembl:lncRNA